rnacentral:rRNA from 1 species
GACGAACGCUGGCGGCGUGCUUAACACAUGCAAGUCGAGCGGAAAGGCUCCUUCGGGGGUACUCGAGCGGCGAACGGGUGAGUAACACGUGAGUAAUCUGCCCUGUGCUCUGGGAUAGCCACCGGAAACGGUGAUUAAUACCGGAUAUGACCAGCUACUGCAUGGUGGUUGGUGGAAAGUUUUUCGGCACAGGAUGUGCUCGCGGCCUAUCAGCUUGUUGGUGAGGUAAUGGCUCACCAAGGCUUUGACGGGUAGCCGGCCUGAGAGGGUGACCUGUCACACUUGGACAGAGACACGGCCCAGACUCCUACGGGAAGCAGCAGUGAGGAAUAUUGGACAAGGGGCGGAAGCCUGAUCCAGCAACGCCGCGUGAGGGAUGACGGCCUUCGGGUUGUAAACCUCUUUCAGUACCGACGAAGCGAAAGUGACGGUAGGUACAGAAGAAGGACCGGCCAACUACGUGCCAGCCGCCGCCGUAACAC